ensembl:lncRNA
CUUACACACAGAUCUCUGUCUCUUUGCGUUUAUGGGCUGCAAGAACUGUUGACGAUACGCUUCUAAAUUACUGGAGUCUAUUAUACACUGCAAAUAUCCCAUAAUGUGUUGUGGGUGUUUGAAUUGGCUUUGAAUGGAAACCCAAGCGUGACUCGGCUCGCCGCAGACUGCAGAGCUCAACGCCGCCUUAAACAAUGCCAUUCUCACCCUCGUAUGAGCCCAAACCUGUACGCUUUCCUUUCAUUCGUGGCACACAACAGGAGGUUUAGUGUUCUCCUUUUGUUUGUGUAGGCGCCCCAUAAACCUAAUGCCUGUUUCUCACUUAUGGGCUCUCUUCCAAAACCUGGUGCGCUGCCCACAUACUCCUGAUCCUGCUAAAGAAGAAGGAACGUCAUACAGGUUUGGAACAGCAUGAGGUGAAAUCACCCCCAGCAGUAACUUUGAACUUCUCCUCUUGUGUACAGCAUCGCAUGGGAGACGGAUCACAUGAUCAUUAGUGUCUUCACUCUGAUUGCAUCAUCACUUAUUUGCAUAAGCAUAAAUACGGCCGUCUACAGGGAGCCACGCCUGAACUCCUGAUGUUUCUCCAUCUGUUUAAAGAUCUACGGGAGCUUCAGCCUUCGGUGCGCUCGCAUGUGUCUCUGCUUCUCGCUGCGAGUUUACCUGCGAGGGAAGAAACACAUCAGCGACGGUGUCAUUAACUGCUCAAGAGCACAAGACUGAUAUGGAAAGGUAGCUUAUGGUGUUUGUUCCUCUAUUAAAAACUCCUCCAGAUGGGGAAGGAACCCGAGACUGUCAUUUACCUCCUCUUCGCGCCUUCAUUAGUGUCUUGCGCAGGAUUUUGGAAGGC